rnacentral:rRNA from 1 species
UACGGGGGGGGCAAGCGUUGUUCGGAAUUACUGGGCGUAAAGGGCUCGUAGGUGGCCAACUAAGUCAGACGUGAAAUCCCUCGGCUUAACCGGGGAACUGCGUCUGAUACUGGAUGGCUUGAGUUUGGGAGAGGGACGCGGAAUUCCAGGUGUAGCGGUGAAAUGCGUAGAUAUCUGGAGGAACACCGGUGGCGAAGGCGGCGUCCUGGACCACCACUGACACUGAUGAGCGAAAGCCAGGGGAGCAAACGGG